UAAUAACCAAAUUAUUUUCUGCCUCUGC
rnacentral:piRNA from 1 species